AAGCGUUAAUCGGAAUUACUGGGCGUAAAGCGUGCGCAGGCGGUUGUGCAAGUCAGACGUGAAAUCCCCGGGCUCAACCUGGGAAUUGCAUUUGUGACUGCACGGCUAGAGUGUGUCAGAGGGGGGUAGAAUUCCACGUGUAGCAGUGAAAUGCGUAGAGAUGUGGAGGAAUACCGAUGGCGAAGGCAGCCCCCUGGGAUAACACUGACGCUCAUGCACGAAAGCGUGGGGAGCAAACAGG
rnacentral:rRNA from 1 species